rnacentral:rRNA from 1 species
GCGAAGCCUGAUCCGCCAUGCCGCGUGAGUGAUGAAGGCCUUAGGGUUGUAAAGCUCUUUCACCGGGGAAGAUAAUGACGGUGCCCGUAGAAGAAGCCCCGGCUAACUUCGUGCCAGCACCCGCGGUAA